rnacentral:rRNA from 1 species
AGUGGACGCUGGCGGCGUGCUUAACACAUGCAAGUCGAACGAGAACGGGCUAUAGCUUGCUAUAGUUGUCAGCUAAGUGGCGCACGGGUGAGUAAUGUAUAGGUAAUAUGCCUCUUACUAAGGGAUAACAAAUGGAAACGUUUGCUAAUACCUUAUACUCCUAAUUAACAUAAGUUAAUAAGGGAAAGAUUUAUUGGUAAGAGAUUAGCCUGUAUUGUAUCAGUUAGUUGGUGGGGUAAUGGCUUACCAAGACUAUGACACAUAACUGGUUUGAGAGGAUGAUCAGUCACACUGGAACUGAGACACGGUCCAGACUCCUACGGGAGGCAGCAGUGGAGAAUAUUGCACAAUGGACGAAAGUCCGAUGCAGCAACGCCGCGUGGAGGAUGACACAUUUCGGUGUGUAAACUCCUUUUAUAUGAGAAGAUAAUGACGGUAUUAUAUGAAUAAGCACCGGCUAACUCCGUGCCAGCCGCCGCCGUAA